GACGAACGCUGGCGGCGUGCUUAACACAUGCAAGUCGAACGGAAAGGCCCUGCUUUUGUGGGGUGCUCGAGUGGCGAACGGGUGAGUAACACGUGAGUAACCUGCCCUUGACUUUGGGAUAACUUCAGGAAACUGGGGCUAAUACCGGAUAGGAGCUCCUGCUGCAUGGUGGGGGUUGGAAAGUUUCGGCGGUUGGGGAUGGACUCGCGGCUUAUCAGCUUGUUGGUGGGGUAGUGGCUUACCAAGGCUUUGACGGGUAGCCGGCCUGAGAGGGUGACCGGCGACAUUGGGACUGCGAUACGGACCAGACUCCUACGGGAGGCAGCAGUGGGGAAUAUUGCACAAUGGGCGGAAGCCUGAUGCAGCAACGCCGCGUGCGGGAUGACGGCCUUCGGGUUGUAAACCGCUUUCGCCUGUGACGAAGAGUGAGUGACGGUAAUGGGUAAAGAAGCACCGGCUAACUACGUG
rnacentral:rRNA from 1 species